AUCCUUUUUUGGUUCAUAAACGAGAUGUUUGGGUAUUCACUAGGCUGUGCUGCGUGUACCACCCUCAAACCUUGUUACACAUCAGCACAAUUACCUGCCUGACA